AAUGAACGCUGGCGGCGUGGUUAAGACAUGCAAGUCGAACGCCGUAGCAAUACGGAGUGGCAGACGGGUGAGUAACGCGUGGGAACGUACCCUUUGGUUCGGAAUAACUCAGGGAAACUUGAGCUAAUACCGGAUACGCCCUUACGGGGAAAGAUUUAUUGCCGAAGGAUCGGCCCGCGUCUGAUUAGCUUGUUGGUGAGGUAACGGCUCACCAAGGCGACGAUCAGUAGCUGGUCUGAGAGGANGAUCAGCCACAUUGGGACUGAGACACGGCCCAAACUCCUACGGGAGGCAGCAGUGGGGAAUAUUGGACAAUGGGCGCAAGCCUGAUCCAGCCAUGCCGCGUGAGUGAUGAAGGCCUUAGGGUUGUAAAGCUCUUUUGCCCGGGAAGAUAAUGACGGUACCGGGAGAAUAAGCCCCGGCUAACUUCGUGCCAGCCGCCGCGGUAAC
rnacentral:rRNA from 1 species